UUACGGCCACAUCACAUUGAAACACUGGUUUCCAUAUGAUUACCAAAGCUAAGCAACAUUGUUCCUGGUUUUUACCUAGAUGGGUGACCGCCUUGGAAUACUAGGUGUUGUAAG